rnacentral:rRNA from 1 species
CCUACGAGAGGCAGCAGUGAGGAAUAUUGGUCAAUGGGCGCGAGCCUGAACCAGCCAAGUAGCGUGAAGGAAGACUGCCCUAAGGGUUGUAAACCUCUUUUAUAAGGGAAUAAAGUGAGGCACGUUUGCCGUUUUGCAUGUACCGUAGGAAUAAGGAACGGUCAAAUCCGUGACAGCAGCCGCGGUAAUACGGAGGAUCCGAGCGUUAUCCGGAUUUGUUGGGUUUAAAGGGUGCGUAGAUGGGUUGUUAAGUCAGUUGUGAAAGUUUGCGGCUCAACCGUAAAAUUGCAGUUGAUACUGGCAGUCUUGAGUACGUUUGAGGUAGGCGGAAUUCGUGGUGUAGCGGUGAAAUGCUUAGAUAUCACGAAGAACUCCGAUUGCGAAGGCAGCUUACUAAACUGCCACUGACAUUGAUGCUCGAAAGUGUGGGUAUCAAACAGGAUUAGAUACCCGAGUAGUC